AGCAGGCAGACUUGCCCACAGAACCCACAGCCUUCCCCUCUAUUUGUCCUCUUGCUCCUUCCUGCUAGGACAGCAGGGCUUCUUGUACACAUGCUGUAGCGGGCACUGCCUUGGCAGGAGGAUUUGGGGCUUCCACCUAUCCUGUUCUCAAGAUUGUAGCAUCUAAGUACUCUAGAGCCCAGUACCUGACAUCAAGGAUGUCUGGAGCUUCCUUUUAAGGAGAGAAAAGAUCAGCAAACUUGCCUGUUCCCGUUUACACUUCCACCACCAGUUCGUGAGAGUUCCUGUUCUGCAUCCUCAACACUAGUAUUAAGUGCACUGGCCUUUAGUCUGUUAGAAAGCAUGCAAUGGCUACAGAUGUUCAAUUGGCUGAGUAUCCACUGAUGAGCCCCAGAUCCCUUAGAGGGGAAUGGAGAAUGGAACAGGAAACUCAGGGGCCAAGUCAGUGGAGUCCUCAGAGGGUCUGGGGGCAGCACGCCUUGCUUAGCACAUCCAGAGUCCAUCUGUACUCCAAAAGGACUCCCUUCAGCCAGGGCCACCGUGAGAAGGGCAUGCAGACAGCGAUCAGUCCAAAGGCUGAGCUGAAACUGGAGAAGAAGUCAGGGUGCAAGCCAAGGAGCCCCAGGGACAGUGGGCCACAGAAAGAACUGGUGAUCCCAGGGAUUGUGGAUUUCGAGUGGAUCCGCCGGGCAUUGAGGACCCCAAAGCCCCAAACCCCUGGCACCUACUGCUUUGGACGCCUCAGUCACCACUCCUUCUUCUCCCGGCACCACCCACACCCCCAGCACGUGACCCACGUCCAAGAUCUCACCGGGAAGCCUGUCUGUGUCGUCAGGGAUUUUCCAGCCCCCUUGCCUGAGUCAACUGUCUUUUCCGGCCGUCAAAUGCGGAUACCCACCAUCUCUGUCCCCAUUGGAGACCCACAGUCUAAUCGGAACCCCCAGCUUUCUUCUGAAGCCUGGAAGAAGGAGUUGAAGGAGCUAGCUUCCCGGGUGGCCUUCACCAAGGAGGAUGAGCUGAAGAAGAAAGAGGAUACUACCAGUCUUAAUUGGAAUUGCAAGAGCAGGAGGCCACAGGCACCUGGCCUCUCUGGGACAGACCUGGGGGCAGCUGAGCUGGGAAUUAAGCAGAAGGAGCAGAAGGAGGAGCCUCUGCGGGAGCAGGGGGCAAAGUACUCAGCAGAGACUGGGAGGCUCAUCCCCACUUCCACCCGGGCUGUUGGCCGCCGCAGAUCUCACCAGGGCCAGCAGAGUCAGUCUUCCAGCAGAGAUGAAGGAGUCCAGGCCUUCCUCCUUCAGGAUCAGGAGCUGCUGGGCGGCCUCACCUCGCCUGGAAUUAGGUUCUCGGGUCCUGUGGGGAGGGGCACAGGGCAGGUCCUGGAGCUCCUGUGUCAGAUCCUGGAAACAGACUCGCUAAGCGCGAUCCAGUUCUGGCUGCUCUACGCUCCACCCAAGGAAAAAGACCUCGCUCUGGGACUCCUGCAGACAGCAGUGGCUCAGCUCCUUCCCCAGCCCCUAGUCUCCAUCCCUACAGAAAAGCUCCUAAACCAGCUUCAAGAAGUGCGUGAACCUCCUCAAGAGAAGCAAGAGCCACCCUGCAGUCAAUCCCCGAAGAAAACGAAGAUAACACCUUUUACAAAAAGCGAAAAACCAGCACCUACAAUGUGCUGAACUCUGGGGAUCAGUGAGGAAGAAUUCAGACAAGUUCCUGCUGUCACGGAACUUACAUCCCAGCAAGGAGGAAUACAGACAACAAAUUAAAACACCUGGGGAGGAGUGGCGACAGAUACUGUAAGGAGAAUAACAAGGCUCUGUGGUCAGUAGUGAGAAGGACUGGCAGGUGGGGAGAGGGCUCCUAGAGCUGAACGGCAGGAAAGAUACAGCUCUACCCAAGUCUAGGAAGAGCCAACCAGCAAAGCUCCCACCUCUUGGUGUGCUGGUGGAAAAGUUGGAUUCCCUCCUCGGUCACCAGCAGAGCUGAGAGCAGGAGCUGGGCUUGACUCAGACCUUCCCCUCAGCACUCACACAUCCACCUGCAGCUCCCAGGUGGGGGCCCCACCUUCCCGGUCCUCUCCUGCCUGCUGUCUCU